CUCGUAUUGGAAGCUGAGACCUCAUCUGAUCUCCCACAUGGUCCUUUUACUAUCAUAAGAUGUCCUGAAUCGUGCAUGAUUGACCGGGCUUUCUGCUCCAGAGCUGAAGAUCUCUUCCCCACGAUAGCAAAGUGAUCAUUCACUCAGUUAUGAAGAUGAGACAGGGAACCCGUCUCUGUUCUUUUUUUAAUCAGCCUCACUACCGUCCUAUACUGUCAUUUGGCCUCUGAGACGUUACAGUGACACAAGGACUGCUGAUACAAUAUUGGAAUUGUUUGUCUCAUUUGAGGACAAAGGUGGGCAUCAGGAUA